AGGAUGUAUACUCAGGAAUAGGAACUAACUUUUCCAAUUGAGAGGCCUGGCUCUGUUUCAGGCCCCAUGCCUGAAUCUCCUAUGAUUUCAAUGAGGAAGAGAAUGGAGAAACUCCUGGAAUGACCUUGUGGCUUCUACUAGUUGGGGUGAACAGCCAACAAGGAAGAGAGAUUCCUCAGGCCCUGAGCAUCCAGGAGGGUGAAAAUGCCACCAUGAACUGCAAUUAUACAGCUUCUAUAUUGAACCCAAAGUGGUACAGACAGGAUUCAGGUGGAGGCCCUGUCCUGCUCAUUUUGAUACGAUCAAAUGAGAGAGAGAAACACAGUGGAAGACUGAGAGCCACCCUUGACACCGCCACCAAAACCAGCUCCUUGUCCAUCACUGCUGCCUGGGCUGCGGAGGCUGCUGCUUACUUCUGUGCUACAGAGGCACAGUGUGCAGCGGGCACCUGCAGCACCACACAAACCCCAGCAGGCUGCUUCCUGGAAGCCCCAAAGGUGUGUGCAGGUGGUGGUUACUUCCUAUGAAGGAACAUCCACUGGCAGUGAGGAAGGGGAGCCCUUUCAACUUUGUGAAUUUUAUGGAAAUAUCUUGGAUUAGGACAAAAGAUAUGAAGCAUGGAAUGGGAACAUCAAAUGCUAGGUUCAGCACUGCCAUCCUGGCUACACUUCCUCAGGCUCAUCAUGGCCUUUGAUUUUCUCACUUGAAAUAAAAGAUUUGGGUCACUGAGCCAAAAGAUUUUCAGACUCGAAUUCCAUCAGGAAAAUGUAAACCCUGGGCACUUGUAGUGGACGAGGAAAUGCUACUCAGUAGUGGGAGGUUUGCUGUGGU